CCUACGGGAGGCAGCAGUGAGGAAUAUUGGUCAAUGGGCGGAAGCCUGAACCAGCCAAGUCGCGUGAGGGAGUACGGCCCUACGGGUCGUAAACCUCUUUUGCCGGGGAGCAGUGCCCAGCUCGUGAGCUGGGAGGGAGCGUACCCGGAAAAAAAGCAUCGGGUAACUCGGUGCAAGCAGCCGCGGUAAUAGGGAGGAUGCGACGGUUAUCCGGAUUUAUUGGGUUUAAAGGGUGCGUGGGCGGGCUUUCAGGCCGGCGUGAAAAUUCCGGGGUUCAAGCCGGCCGAGCCGUCGGUACCGGGGGACUUGAGUACAGGAGAAGUAGGCGGAAUGUGUGGUGUAGCGGUGAAAUGCAUAGAGAUCACGCAGAACCCCGAUUGCGAAGGCAGCGUACCGGCCGGUCACUGACGCUGAGGCACGAAAGCGCGGGUAUCGAACAGGAUUAGAUACCCGGGUAGUC
rnacentral:rRNA from 1 species